CAGUAGCCGCGGUAAUACAGAGGGUGCGAGCGUUAAUCGGAUUUACUGGGCGUAAAGCGUGCGUAGGCGGCUUUUUAAGUCGGAUGUGAAAUCCCUGAGCUUAACUUAGGAAUUGCAUUCGAUACUGGGAAGCUAGAGUAUGGGAGAGGAUGGUAGAAUUCCAGGUGUAGCGGUGAAAUGCGUAGAGAUCUGGAGGAAUACCGGUGGCGAAGGCGGCCCCCUGGACAAAGACUGACGCUCAGGUGCGAAAGCGUGGGGAGCAAACAGGAUUAGAUACCCCUGUAGUCCCUGUCUCUUAUAC
rnacentral:rRNA from 1 species